rnacentral:rRNA from 1 species
AGUGAACGCUGGCGGUAGGCCUAACACAUGCAAGUCGAACGGCAGCACAGUAAGAGCUUGCUCUUAUGGGUGGCGAGUGGCGGACGGGUGAGGAAUACAUCGGAAUCUACUUUUUCGUGGGGGAUAACGUAGGGAAACUUACGCUCAUACCGCAUACGACCUACGGGUGAAAGCAGGGGAUCUUUGGACCUUGCGCGAUUGAAUGAGCGGAUGUCGGAUUAGCUAGUUGGCGGGGUAAAGGCCCACCCAGGCGACGAUCCGUAGCUGGUCUGAGAGAAUGAUCAGCCACACUGGAACUGAGACACGGUCAAGACUCCUACGGGAGGCAGCAGUGGCGAAUAUUGGACAAUGGGCGCAAGCCUGAUCCAGCCAUACCGCGUGGGAGAAGAAGGCCUUCGGGUUGUAAAGCCCUUUUGUUGGGAAAGAAAAGCAGCAGGUUAAUACCCCGCUGUUCUGACGGUACCCAAAGAAGAAGCACCGGCUAACUUCGUG